AGAGAACUACACUAUAGCAUAAGCAGAUCACUCAGCAGCAAAAUGAAUAAACCCAUGGAGCAAAUUUCCACUAAGAUAGCACUCAAGGCUGCCUAAUGUAACCACUUAAUUAGAGGACACUCUUCUGGCAACAAAGAAGAGGCGAAGAAGAGCAGUGAAUAGGGAAAAAAAGAAAGGAGUAAAUGCUGGGCUCCUACAAUGGAGGGUGGACCUCUCGCUCCAUUCUCUGUCUGUUAAGCAGCUGACAAUGGAGCACUCAGCAGGCGCUGACCUGGACCCCCUAAUAGUGCAUGGCAGCCAGGGUCCUCACAGCUGGAAGACAGGAAACAGCAGAAUGCUGCAUGUUGGCCUGCCCCCUUUAAACACCACCUCUAUAGCACUGCAGCUGCCAUCCAUCCUCUUCAACUCUUCAUUACCAACCCCAUCACACUUCGGCAAUCAAUGCAAAUGAAGACAAUCUUGCGCUGCACUAUAAUUUCAAUAGUACUACAAGCAAAUGUGUCUGCUCCACUCUAGCUCACAAUGAAGGAACCCUAAUGGAAGCAUAUGGUUGCAUCGCAACAUUUCAUUUAGAUGCACUUUUUUUCUUUAUUUCUUUUUAAAUAAACAUUUCUCUUUCUGAAAAUAUCGCUUUUCAGUUGUUGUCAAUGCAAUUCUAA